GCACCUGGUACGCUCAUUCAGCACAGGAAAAUAAUAAAUCUGGAUUCCACGCAGCAGCAAGCAGACAUUCUCUCACCAUUUCUCCUCUCUUUGAUUUGUUUACCGUUACGCUUUUUACCUUGGAGAAAACUUUCAAUGACAAAACAAUAACAAAAGAAGAUUGAUUUUUUUUAGUCGGAGAAUCCAAUAAAACUUCCCAUUUCUCCAUUUGUAGUAGCAAAUUAAGAAGGAUAUGGCAUCGCUUCAGGCAUCAGAGCUCGAAUCUGCCGCCACAGACUCCGGCCAGUCUUCUCCUCGCUCCGAUCAAUAUGGCUCCCACGAUCCGCGAGUCCGCUUCAUGUGUAGUUUUGGUGGUAAGAUUCUUCCUCGUCCCCAUGACAAUCAGCUCCGUUAUGUUGGUGGGGAGACUCGCAUCGUCGUCGUUCACCGCGCUACCAGCUACUCUGCUCUCCUCACUAAACUAUCCAAACUCUCUGGUAUACAUAUCUAUGUUUUCUGAACAUGAAAUUAUAAAUUGCAUUAAAUUCAGACAUGUUUAGUUAAUUUGAAGCUAGAAAAACUGCGUUAUUAAUGUCAGGUAUUGCUAACUUGAGCGUCAAGUAUCAGCUGCCCAAUGAAGAUCUCGAUGCUUUGAUAUCUGUUACAACCGAUGAGGAUGUAGACAAUAUGAUGGAAGAAUACGAUCGGGUUUUAUUGAAUCAGAACCCUCGCUCCGCACGACUCCGGCUGUUUCUCUUCUCUAAUGGGGAGGAUUCGAGAACUAGCAGCAUCAGCUCCCUUCUUGAUGGCUCUACAAAUCGGGAGCACUGGUUCUUUGAUGCUCUUAAUUCUGGGUCCAGUCUCCAGCGAGAACGAUCCGAGGCUUCCUCCAUUGUGUCUGAAGUGCCCGAUUAUCUAUUCGGGUUGGAUAAUUCGGACGAUCCACAGCCUCGUGAGAACAAGGCGAAGAGUCGACUCGUUUUGCAUGACAACGUUUCGGCAUCGGAUCCAGGUUCUCCGGCUCCGGUUGUUUCUUCGCCGUAUUGCUCGACUUCUUCAGCUGUCCCAAUUGUGCCUUCAAUUCCUGAUCUUCCACCCGUUAAGACCAAACCCGAAAACACGGAUCCAAUCAUACAACCAAAGCAGAAUACAGUGGAUAGUUCUUCUGAGACAAUUGAACCAGUAAUGACCCAUCCAACUGGGUACCCGAGUAAUCCCGUUAUGCAUUAUAUUCCGGAUUCUCAUUAUCCGGGUCAUCACGUACAACCAAUACCAGUUUAUUAUGUUCCGGGUCCAGUUCCACCGGGUAAUGUCCCAGUUCAGCCCGUUCAAAUCCGGCCUCCAUUCGUUCAACAAUACCCAGUGUCAACAGGUCCAAUACCGGUGGGUUAUCAACAAGGACUUCCGGGUAUGGGUCAAGUAUAUGGUGGAGCUGCUAUCAGGCCCAUGACUGCACUGGAUCCUUAUGAGGGUGGAAGAGUAGUUCCUGACGGGGUGAAUCAACAGGUUUAUUAUGGGGUUAGAAAUGCAACUCCUGGUAUGGUUCCGGGGUAUCCAGGUACGCUGAUUCCAGGUGGGGAAGAUUUGCAAAGGACCGUCUCAGACACAAAUUCGGGUCGGGUCUCCCAAUCUUAAUGAUAACUGAUAAGCGCAAUAUAUGGUAUUUUGCCUGCUUAUGUGUUUGCUUCAAGGUUUGUGGUUGGUGAUUGUCCUGUAAAAUGUACUUGUAAUUUGUAAAAUGUACUUGUAAUUAACUUGCUUCUUUUGUCUAGUAAAACAAUAGAUUAUUACACGUUGGCAGUUCCAAUAAUUCCUGUAUAGAUUACACAUAAAUGAUUUAAUUGCAAAUUUCCUCGCUUGUGC
rnacentral:misc_RNA from 1 species